rnacentral:tRNA from 1 species
GCCUUGUGCGUUUCCGCCACAGGACUUAAAAUCCUGUGACCGUUUUCGGUCGUGCGGGUUCGAGUCCCGCCCCGGGCA